AAAUAGGGCUGGUCAAAGAUUAAUGUAUAUUCCUACAUAUAAGGAAUACACUGUGUUACAUGAUUUCUUUACACAGUUUGAGAAUAUAAAAAUAUUUGUAAAGAAAAUUCAUGAAGGAUAAUGGGCUUGUUUGUCAUCAUGCGAUAAAAGCGUGUUGCGAGAUAAUUGGCAUAAAGGAUAUGUAUG